rnacentral:rRNA from 1 species
GAAACACGGACCAAGGAGUCUAGCAUGUGCGCGAGUCAUUGGGACUCAGUUAAACCUAAAGGCGCAAUGAAAGUAAAGGUCCGCCUCGCGCGGACCGAGGGAGGAUGGGCCCGUCCACGGGCGGGCCCCGCACUCCCGGGGCGUCUCGUUCUCAUCGCGAGAAGAGGCGCACCCAGAGCGUACACGCUGGGACCCGAAAGAUGGUGAACUAUGCCUGGUCAGGACGAAGUCAGGGGAAACCCUGAUGGAGGUCCGUAGCGAUUCUGACGUGCAAAUCGAUCGUCGGAACUGGGUAUAGGGGCGAAAGACUAAUCGAACCUUCUAGUAGCUGG